GUACACUCCUGCGGGAGGCAGCAGUGGGGAAUAUUGGACAAUGGGCGCAAGCCUGAUCCAGCCAUGCCGCGUGAGUGAUGAAGGCCCUAGGGUUGUAAAGCUCUUUUGUGCGGGAAGAUAAUGACGGUACCGCAAGAAUAAGCCCCGGCUAACUUCGUGCCAGCAGCCGCGGUAAUACGAAGGGGGCUAGCGUUGCUCGGAAUCACUGGGCGUAAAGGGUGCGUAGGCGGGUCUUUAAGUCAGGGGUGAAAUCCUGGAGCUCAACUCCAGAACUGCCUUUGAUACUGAAGAUCUUGAGUUCGGGAGAGGUGAGUGGAACUGCGAGUGUAGAGGUGAAAUUCGUAGAUAUUCGCAAGAACACCAGUGGCGAAGGCGGCUCACUGGCCCGAUACUGACGCUGAGGCACGAAAGCGUGGGGAGCAAACAGGAUUAGAAACCCGUGUAGUCCCA
rnacentral:rRNA from 1 species